UAAAAGCAUUAAGAGAGGGUAAUUACCUCAGCAACCUGGAAGGCUACCAAGGUGCUAAGAAGAUGUGGCUUUAAGCAAAAAAGAGCCAAU
rnacentral:ncRNA from 1 species